GCUUCCUUUGGCAGCACUUAUAAAAUUGGUAUGAUACAGAGAAGAUUCACAUGACCCCUAUACAAAGAUGACAUGCAAAUUUGUGAAGCAUUCUGUAUUUUA
ensembl:snRNA U6 U6 spliceosomal RNA